rnacentral:rRNA from 1 species
CUUAGACAGCUAGGAUGUUGGCUUAGAAGCAGCCAUCAUUUAAAGAAAGCGUAAUAGCUCACUAGUCGAGUCGGCCUGCGCGGAAGAUGUAACGGGGCUAAGUUGUAAACCGAAGCUGCGGCAAUGUUCUAUGAACAUUGGGUAGGGGAGCGUUCUGUAAGCCGUUGAAGGUGUGUUGUAAAGCAUGCUGGAGGUAUCAGAAGUGCGAAUGCUGACAUGAGUAACGACAAGGGGGGUGAAAAACCUCCCCGCCGGAAGACCAAGGGUUCCUGUCCAACGUUAAUCGGGGCAGGGUAAGUCGACCCCUAAGGCGAGGCUGAAAAGCGUAGUCGAUGGGAAACGGGUUAAUAUUCCCGUACUUCUUACAAUUGCGAUGGGGGGACGGAGAAGGCUAGGUGGGCCUGGCGACGGUUGUCCAGGUUCAAGUGCGUAGGCUGAGUGUUUAGGUAAAUCCGGAUACUCUUAAGGCUGAGACACGACGUCGAGCUACUACGGUAGUGAAGUCAUUGAUGCCAUGCUUCCAGGAAAAGCCUCUAAGCUUCAGAUUGUAAGGAAUCGUACCCCAAACCGACACAGGUGGUCGGGUA